rnacentral:lncRNA from 1 species
ACAAUUUGUAGAAUGUCUCAUCUAGCAUAGAUCAUAACUUAUGAUUCUAACAAAAUCCAAAUUAAAUUUCUACACCAAUAAAAUCUCUUGACUCUUUAUCAAAAUAUUACCAACAUCCAGAAUAUCAAUUUCCAUAUCCUUAGACGUGUAAUAACUUAUAACUUUCACAUCUUCUAAACCAUUAACUAAUUUCAAUAUCCUAAUUUGUCUACCAUUUUCUUACUAAACACCAUCUUAUAGCCAAAAUCAAACUUAGUUAUAAAUCAACUUACGACCAAAAAACUAAUACUUAAUAACAUGUCUAACUCACAUCAACACUAACUUUAUGCCUCAAUUCCAUUGAAACUCUAACUACAUCUACUUAAAAUUUGGAAUUUAAUCCUAAGGCAUACCUUAAUUAAAGAGGACACUGGACUAUCAAAUUUCAAAAUCUACAAAAUUGUACUUGACAACACAAAGCCACUAACAUCUGAAUAUUUUCUGCUAAUAGCAAACACAACCAUUUCACUUUAUUUUGCUACAAAAAGAUCAUACUACCAUCAAAACAUGAAGUAGAAAAUUACGGCCUAACCAAAAGAUCAGGAAAAGUCUACUAAAAAAAUGCACUAAAAACCAGCAAAUACUAUUGCCAAAAUUAAAGUGGCCAAGUAUAAGUUGUACAAGGGACACAAAGAUACAAGAUAAAAACUGAUAUAGCAGUAGGAGAAACUUUAAAUCACUUACCAAAACAAGCCAAGAAAACAAUCAAAUAACACUACACAUGACCUGAUAUACAACAAAAUAAGACCUGCAACCUUCGGGAAAAAAGAAAAAAAGAAAAAAACAAGAGCGAAAGGCCAACAACACCCUACACCUGCGUCCAAAAACAUACUCAAGCAAACAAAAACUUCAAUACAACAAGUCUUAUAAAAUCUGAUUCUCAAUAACAUAUUGAGCAAAAAUAACAGCGACCCAGAUUUCAAAAUCACGAAAUCAACACAAAUUAGUAAAAUCAUGAAAUGAACCAUANNGAAAUAGAAAUCGAAAGCAGAGAGAAGUUAAGCAUACCGUGAGAUUCGGAAAUAGAAAUCGAUCUGAGUUGUGUAUGAAGAGUAGCGAUUUGGGAUUUGAGGUGUGAAGAGAGAAAUCGAAGAUCUGAGGCAUGAGGAUGCGGUUUGAUGCGUGAAGCGAUUUGGGUUUGAGGAUCUGGAAUCGAUUUGGGUUUGUAGAGUAGCGAUCUAAGGCGAGAAGGGAAACUGAAAUCGAUUAGGGAUUUCGGAUUUGGGUGAACCUAUUAGAAUAUGUUAGGGAUUGGGAAUGAAUGAAUGAACAAAUGAACAUAUGUUAAGGGAUUCCACUACGGUUGAAGACCAAAUCAGUAGUGAAAUCCAAUUAAAAUAAAUUUUAACGUAAUUACAACAUUGCCACCGUGUCUACUUUUCACUACUGAUUUAAGAAAACCAGUAGUGAAAUCCCUUGUCUAUGAACUUUUCACUACUGAUAUUCAAAUAUCCGUAGUGGAAUCAUUUGGUCAAAUGUAUUUCACUACUGGUAUUCACAUACCAGUAGUGGAAUCUCUUAGCCAAAAGUCAUUUUUC